CUGCUAAUUAAGCUGACUAUUCUCCCUUCUCCAUGGGUGCCAGUGCUCAGUGGCUGCCUCCUCAGGGGUGUACACAGCCUGUUACUGGUACUGGUCACCCCGAGGGACUUUGGAGACGAAG
ensembl:snoRNA SNORA70 Small nucleolar RNA SNORA70